CCCGCUGAACUGAAGCAUAUCAAUAAGCGGAGGAAAAGAAAUCAACAGGGAUUGCCUCAGUAACGGCGAGUGAAGCGGCAAGAGCUCAAAUUUGAAAGCUGGCCCCUUCGGGGUCCGCAUUGUAAUUUGCAGAGGAUGCUUCGGGAGUGGCCCCCAGCUAAGUGCCCUGGAACGGGCCGUCAUAGAGGGUGAGAAUCCCGUCUGGGAUGGGGUGUCCACGCCCGUGUGAAGCUCCUCCGACGAGUCGAGUUGUUUGGGAAUGCAGCUCUAAAUGGGUGGUAAAUUUCAUCUAAAGCUAAAUACUGGCCGGAGACCGAUAGCGCACAAGUAGAGUGAUCGAAAGAUGAAAAGCACUUUGAAAGGAGAGUUAAACAGCACGUGAGAUUGUUGAAAGGGAAGCGCUUGCGACCAGACUCGCCCACGGGGUUCAGCCGGCAUUCGUGCCGGUGUACUUCCCGCGGGCGGGCCAGCCCGGACCGAGGAACGCGUUUCGGCUCGGACGCUGGCAUAAUGGUCGAAAGCGACCCGGAGAAGUGG
rnacentral:ncRNA from 1 species